rnacentral:misc_RNA from 1 species
GAAGGAUCAUUUGAGGAACCAAUGGGAAGGGAGAGUCUUCAAAAACUUUGGCAGAAAUACAAGGUUGAUAUAGCCAUAUAUGGUCAUGUGCAUAAUUAUGAGAGAACAUGUCCCAUUUACCAGAAUAUUUGCACCAAUGAAGAGAGACAUCACUACAAGGGCACCUUAAAUGGAACAAUACAUGUGGUAGCAGGAGGAGGAGGAGCUAGCCUUGCAGAAUUUACAGCCAUCAAUACAACAUGGAGUUUCUUUAAAGAUUAUGAUUAUGGAUUUGUAAAACUUACAGCUUUUGACCAUUCUAAUCUUUUGUUCGAAUACAAGAAAAGCAGAGACGGCAAAGUUUACGACUCCUUCACGAUAUCCCGGGAUUACAGGGACAUCUUGGCCUGCACAAUAGAUAGUUGUCCACGUACAACAUUAGCAUCUUGACCUGCGUUGCCGAUGAAGAAAUAAUUCCACUCAGAAGUUUAUACGUGGACCUACUGUUGCUGUG